UCACAUUCAAAUUUUGGACAAGUAGAAUUUUCUAACCUAUUUUCCGUCAACUUCACUUGAAUUUUCAAUCACAAUCAAUUGCAUUCAAGAGCACCACAUCCUUUUGGAUAAAACAAAACUUUCAAUUUUAAGGUAAACGGGUCUUUAGGGUUAUACGAGGGCCUUUCCACAAUUGCCAUCAUUAUUUGCGGGUGAUUUGGGGAUAAUAACUUGAACAUUUCUGGAUCACAUUUAAUUCAAUUUUUAAAUUUUAGAGAGAUGUUUGGGUUACAACAAUUUCCAUCAUUAUGUUUAAUAUAACAUUUGGGAGGAAAAGGAGCAAAAAAAAUGAGUGAAAAUCAGAAAAUGGGGGCAAAGUAUAGGACCCACAUGAGCUGACCUAUUCCACUUGACUAUGGGACGACAUCAAUUUCGUAGAUUUGCACUUUGACCUGCUAAAAAAUACGAAUUUUAGGCUUUUCUGGCAUUCUAAGAUAUAUAUAUAUGACAAAAAUAAGAAGAUAUAAGAGAACCUUCCUAGAAUAUUCAAGAAAACAACUCCAAAGACACUACUAAAGCCGACUCUGAACCAGAUUUUCAUUAAGAUGGAAGAUUCCUAAUUGAUUUCUUAAGAGAUUAUCAUGAGUUUCUUUAUUCCUUUCAGUUAUACUACCCUUUGGAUGUUUUUAUUUUUAAUCAUGAACUAAUUUUCUAAAUACCUAAGAGAGAUGAACCCUAUGAUAGAUUGUGACACCCCAAAGCCGACCGAGACAGACCGACCCGAAUUCGAAACAUUACAUUAGCCACCUAAGUGACUUUCUAGCUAACAACCAGCCAAGACACACCCUAACCUUAUUGUACAAGCCUAAUUUUGACCAAGACUAAACCAAAUAAAUUAACAGUCCAUAAGAGUCCAAAUUACAACUAUCCUGAUACGACCCAAAUUAAAAACAACAACCCAAGCCCAAACCUAACCCUAGUAGCCCAAAGCCCACAAGCUAAAAAAUCUUAGCAGAAAAAACAAAGUUGCUAACCCUAGGCGCUGCGCCUGGGUCCUCUACCAUUGACCGUAUGCCUCUAUCAUCGCGUCUCACAGCCUCUGCCACGCCUCUGCUACCUGCAAGAAACCAACAAAGCACAAAACGACAACAGCAAUAGGGGCCAAAUCAAAAAAUAAUAAAAAAAUAGAUCAUGAAUCGCUUAGAUCGGCUAUAAAGGCCAAAAUAUUAACCUUGUAAUGCUUCUUCUUUUUUUUGACGAACAUUAGAAAAAUAAAAAAUAGAAAACAAGUAUCAAAGGUAGAUUUUUUUCAUUUUCAAAUUCACAUUUCUUUUCCCUGUGUAUUUUCUUUUCUUCUAUUUUUUUUACAUACAACUAGUAAGAACAAAGAAAGAGAAAGAAAAACCUCACCUAGAAUAGCCCCUCAAGUCCGGUCGUCGGAGGCCCUUUUCCCGUUGUCGGAAUUAGACCUAAAAGGGGGGCUAGGGGUGCCCUCUCCUGGUUUUUUAGGCCAAAGAAGGUUGGAUCUUUGAGCGCACUGGAAAUCGGGGUUGAAACGCCUCUUUUGCGCAACGUCGGCCAUCGGUCACGGUGGCGCUACGGCGGCACUUACGGCCGAAACCCUAGGCCGAGCGGGGUGGGGGUUUGAGAGAGGGAGAGAGCUCAAAAGCUCUCUGAAUUUUUUUAAAAAAAAUGGGAUGAAACUGAUUUUCUUUGGGUUUUUUAUUUUAUUUUAUCCUAAGUAUGAAACGCCUCCGUUUUGGACUUAAGUAGCCAUGGCCAAAACGACGCCGUUUUACAUCGUUUCCCCCAUACCCGCGCGCGCGACCCGACCCGCCAGGGGAUCCGCACGUUUUGACUCUAAGGGGAUAUUUGCGCAAUCUGCCCCUACGCUUUUUCGACGUAUUCAAUUCUGGUUUAUUAUUAUUUUUAUUUUAGCCAUGUAUUUUUGCUUCCGAUUCAAGUUGGUCCUUAGACCAUGUGUUGUUCCACGGUUAAAACGCCGCGCUUUAGGACUGGGGAAUAUUUCCCUGAAAGUCCCUCGCUCUUUGAGCGCGUUUCAUUUUGGUCCCGAGCCACCCCUUUUAUUUAUUUGCAAUUUAGACCGCGAGUUCUAAUCCGAUUUCAAUUUAAUCCUUAUUCCAUAUAAUUAUUUUAUUUUCUUUUUCUUUAAAAAUUAAUUUUUUUUAUUUUUAAAAAGGAGCUCUUCUAUUAUUAUUAUUUAUUUUAAGUUAUACAUAUAUUAUUUAUUCUAAAUGUUUUGCCUAAUAUUUACUUAAUUUUUUUAUUCUAUUAUUUGUUUAAC
rnacentral:lncRNA from 1 species